UGGAGGAAAGUAGGGGAUCGUAAGACCUUGUGCUUUUGGAGCGGCCGAUGCCUGAUUAGCUAGUUGGUAAGGUAAAGGCUUACCAAGGCUUCGAUCAGUAGUUGGUCUGAGAGGACGACCAGCCACACUGGGACUGAGACACGGCCCAGACUCCUACGGGAGGCAGCAGUGGGGAAUUUUGGACAAUGGGGGAAACCCUGAUCCAGCCAUGCCGCGUGAGUGAAGAAGGCCUUCGGGUUGUAAAGCUCUUUCAGUUGAGAAGAAAAGAUUACGACUAAUAAUCGUGAUUCAUGACGGUAUCAACAGAAGAAGCACCGGCUAACUACGUGCCAGCAGCCGCGGUAAUACGUAGGGUGCAAGCGUUAAUCGGAAUUACUGGGCGUAAAGGGUGCGCAGGCGGUCUUGUAAGUCAGAUGUGAAAUCCCCGGGCUUAACCUGGGAACUGCGUUUGAAACUACAAGGCUAG
rnacentral:rRNA from 1 species